UUGCUCAGGUAAUAGGCUUAAACAAACUGGGGACUAACAGAGGGAGGAAGGAGGGCAGGAUAGAGGGGAAAAGGCAAGAAAAUUUGCUCAGGGCAAGGGUUAAUUAAAAGACACUUACUCCUUGGGAGAAAAGUCAUGACCAACCUAGACAGUAUAUUAAAAAGCAGAGACAUUACUUUGCCAACAAAGUCCGUCUAGUCAAGGCUAUGGUUUUUCCAGUAGUCAUGUAUGGAUGUGAGAGUUGGACUAUAAAGAGAGCUGAGCACCAAAGAAUUGAUGCUUUUGAAAUGUGGUGUUGGAGAAGACUCUUGAGAGUGCCUUGGACUGCAAGGAGAUCCAACCAGUCCAUUCUAAAGGAGAUCAGUCCUGAAUAUUCAUUGGAAGAACUGAUGCUGAAGCUGAAACUCCAAUACUUUGGCCACCUGAUGUGAAAAGCUGACUCAUUUGAAGAGACCUUGAUGCUGGGAAAGAUUGAAGGUGGGAGGAGAAGAGGACGACAGGAUGAGAUGGCUGGAUGGCGUCACUGACUCAAUGGACAUGAGUUUGAGUAAAUUCCGGACGUUGGUGAUGGACAGGGAAGACUGGCGUGCUGCAGUCCAUGGGGUCGCAGAGAGUCAGAUAUGACUGAGCAACUGAACUGAACUGAACUGAAGGGUGAGUCACAAGGAGACUGAGUGUUGAGCGGGGAGGAAGUAGACUAGAGUAGUUGUCCCUCUUCCCCCUCUGCCCCGCACCCCUGGCCCUCCAGUCCUGGAUCUGCACAUCCUCUCUCUCUCUCUGUCAACCUGGUGGCAUAGCACAGUGGACAAGGCACCCUGGCUUGAGCUGAAGAGACUUGCUGACUCUGUCUUACCUUUUGAACCAUCUUUGAUUCUAAAUGUCCGCUAAGUGCAGACACCAUAUGUGGAAAUAUGUGUUCUGAUAUCUACAUUUUCCAGAAGAACAUGCCUUCAGUGGCCAGUGUCCCAAAGAGGAUGAGAGACACACACAGGAGGGCUGGACCCAACCUAUAGUCUACAGCCAAAAUCAGCCUGGAUCAGCUGAGACUCAGCCAGCCUUCAGACACAUGAGGAAAUGUGUCUGUGUCCUU
ensembl:lncRNA